UCUCUCUCUCUCUCUUUUCCCCUUGUCCCUCUCUUCAAGUUAGAUACCUUUUUAGUGUGUUUUAAGAGGGAGAUAGAAGACUUGAGUGCUUGCAGCCUUGCUUGGUUUGAUUAUUGAAUCAUGAGAGUGAGAGAGGAAAGAGAGAGAGAGAGAGAGAGAUGAAGAGGGAGAGAAAGAGAGAUAAGGAGAGAGAUAAAGAGACAGAGAGGGAAAGAGAGUGGUUCUCUUGGAGAAGGAAAGCGGGUGUUUGGAAUGAGGCUUCAUUCCUGACACCAAGCUUUCCUGUGUAAACGCAACUACUUCGCAGUAAGUUCUUGUCUUGAUCCACUUGUUCUCUCUUUCAUCAUACUUGUAUACUUUGUGUCUAGAUCUUCCCAAAGGCAGUGGAUCUAUUCACUUACUCAUCUACUCUGGGAGUGUGAAAAAACCCAUACACCUAAGAUGAUCGAUUAUAAAAUAUCUUAGCUAGGCUUUUCAUCUUCCUAGUAGGUUAUGAAUCUUUGGCUUUGAAGAAUAGAAAUAUGAUACUUUGCUCUUUCUUUCAGGCCGUACUUUUUUGUUUCAUUUUUUCAUGAAGAAAAACAGUGCAACUUAAUUUGCUUAAUUAAUAUUCUCUCAAUGAGUUUCAGAUCUGAAUUGAUUAAUUGGUCAAUCUAAUUCUCUAGCAACAUGUCAAUGAGGGAUCCAACUUCAUGAAGAAGUGGCUACUGUUGAUUUGAGAAACCCUAACAGCCCAGCCUAUGCAUAUGGAUAUCAUUAGUAGAUCAGAUGAGAAGCUGUGACUAAUUAUUCUAUUUAUGUAUCAUGUGCUAAACAAAGCAUAUAUAGUCCAAAUUAGAUGGGAUCAAUAACUGCAGAACCUGUGUAUGCUUUUUCUCUUUUAAAGCCUGUACCAUGAAAUUGCAGACGUACAGGAAUUUUAUGAAGGUAUUUCUCGAGGCAGUCCACAUGCAAGGACAAGGUACACUCUUUAUGUGUGCCCUUUUGGAAUUGGGUCUCCAAAAUAUUCUUGGGAAGUCCCUUCACCUGGUAAGCAUUUCCCAUUUCCCAUCUCCCAACCUUUUCUUCUCAAGUUCUUAUGCUAAUGGGAGAAGGUGUCUCUGGUCUUUUGUGUUUAGUUUUACUUAUUUGCCUUCUUGUGCAGUAAUAACUUUGUUCCUUUGCUCUGUGAGAAUCAUAUUAAGACUAGCUCUUUUUUUAACCAUUUUCUGGGGUUUCUGUCUGUGUGUUGAUUAGUUGUAUAACAUUUUUCCAUCUUUUUCUUUUCUGUUCUUUUCUUGGGGUUCUGGUUCUUGUCUGUCAAGACUCUUGGGUUGUUCUAACAUUUCUCCAGGAGAAUUCUGUGGUCACAUCAAGGGCAAGAACUGAUCCGUUUCUGCAAUGCCUCGUGCUCUUUGAAGUCAAAAGUGUAACUGGUAUGAUGUGAUGGUGGCUCAGAAAAAUUUAUAUGGAAGGACAAAAAUGUGAGAAAAGCAGCCCUCCUCACUCUUACCUGGUUUUUGGAGACCCAAGUCAAAUUUAUAGGUGGAAUAUAAUAUGUACUUGGUAUAGAUUUAAGAAGUCUUACAAGCUUCCAAUCAUUUUAUACAAAGUUUCUUCUUAAAAAAAAAAAAAACAAACAAACCAAGAAAUGUGACUAUACAUACAAUUAGGGUUUGGAUUUUUAGGCUGGCUGAAUCUACAUAGGAGUAAACCUAUCAUUCCUCACAAAAUAUUUUUGUAGUCACUUGAACUUCAACUUCCUAAAUGGAGUAUAACAAAACUGAUUUUAACUUCAUAAUCCAACAUAAACACUUGCAGCACUGGUUUUAUAUUCAUAUUUCUAUAUAUAUUCCUGUCCUUUUGCUUUUAAUGAUUUAUUUUCCUUCAAUCCCUACACCCAACUGCCAUACAUUUGUGAAAAGGAUUUAAUGAAGAUAUCUGUUUUUCUCACUUUUAUUGAAUGAUCAUCUUAAAUUUUCAUAAGAGUUCUGCAUUAAUAUUCUUCCAAAAUCAUCAUGCUGCCCUGUGCCUAAUGAUACCAUCUUUUUAUACCAUGCACUUGUUGUAGAAUAAUUUCUCUGUUUUCAAGUAAUAAUUACUUCUAAUCAUGAAAUUUUGUGUGUGCAGGACUCCAAUGCAAGUAAUUACCAUACAAGAAAGGAGGGACUGCCAUAAGACUUGCAUAUAUAUAUAUAUAUAUAUAUAUAUAUAUAAAAUAGUCAUCCAAUGGACAGGCCCAUCUGAUUACCCAUCAGACUAGGUAUCCCUCUUGGCUCCUUUAAUGAAAGGGCUAUAGGAUAAAAGUCUAUAAAUAGGCCAUUCUAUAUAAUCGAGCCAUAACUAACCUACGUUGCUUUCUCUCUGCCAAGAGGAUAUUAUUUUUUAUUAAAAUUUAUUUAUUUUGAGACAUUUAAGUCAUGGGAAUACAAGGUUGGCUCUUGUAGCCUUCCACUACUAUGACACAAUUUUCAGGAGUACGAGAACUCUUGGGCCUUAUUUCUUAUGGACUUCAUACUAGGUAUGUUUAAGUAUUUUGAUUGGUGGAAGUAAUUUGAUGUUAAAUUUAAAUUUGGUAUUUGUAGGGA